rnacentral:lncRNA from 1 species
GUUUGGGUUGUACAUAUAUCUGAGCCCGUUUUAUUUUUGUUCUUGGGCCGUCUAACCCGACCCAAUAGUGAUUGUAUAUAAACCACUUGCACAUAUAUUUUACAUACGGGAUUUCAUUUUAUCUUCUGGCUUUCUCCAGAAGCUUCUCAUUCUCUCUCUGUAUCGCUUCCUGUUCAUCUUCAUCUUCUGUGAUUUUCAUCUUCAAAUAUUCAUGUUUUCAUUAUGGGCUAUUCAUAUUUCAAUUGAAAGGUAAAUAAUUGUAAUAGCCAUUCAAAGUUCUGACAACCCAAUAAAAGUCGAGUAAAAAUAAGAGGAUCAAAACUAAAUUAUUAAACCCAAGGGCCCCCUAUUCCGGUUUCAUUUGAUGGCAAACGGGGAAUUCGAAGCUAACUAAGCCGUGGCAAGAAAGAUCACAAAUUGAAAUUUACUCAAAGAUAACAUAUAAAAUACCAUCAUCGCCAUCACAUUCGAGACAAAUACGACAGCAAGGUAAGGAACCAAGUUCGACAUCUUCAUCAUCCUUUAUUAUCUCAUUCGAAGGCGGAGGCUCAUGUACAUUCUGAUGAAGCAGAGGAUCGGAUUCAUUAGGGUUCCACUCCUCUCCCACUACCUCCAGCGAGGCUCAUGUUCAUUUUGAUGAAGCAGAAGAUCGGAUUCAUUAGGGUUCCACUCCUCUCCCACUACCUCCAGCUCUCAUUCACUUUUCAUUGGACGGAGCCUCUUUCUAAUCCUCAAUAGUGGAUGUACAGCCGCACACGAUCCUCCUUCCGCAGACUCUUUAACAGUGAUCAAAUCGCAAUCAGGGAGAAAUGAAUUGAAAGAAGGAGAAUAAUUAUACAAAUAAAAUAAAUGAUUUUUUACAUUGAGGGUUUGCAGGGAGAUUUACUUGGAAUGGAACGAAGCACCACAAGGAGAGGGCUGCACGAUGUUGUCAAUUAUUUGUUCCUUGUUCCUCCGGAGCCUAAUUGAGCCAGGUUCAAUU